rnacentral:rRNA from 1 species
GGGGGGGGGGGGGGGGGGGGGUGGGGGGGGGAGGUCGGGCGGGGGGGCGGGGGGGGGGUGGGCUGACGGGGGGGGGGGGGCGGGGGGGUGGGGUAGGCAUCGGGAGCUGCGUUGUCGUGGGGGGUAGCGGAGGGAGAGUGACGCUAGUACCGCAUACGACCUACGGGUGGGAGCAGGGGAUCUUCGGCCCUUGCGCGAUUGAAUGAGCCGAUGUCGGAUUAGCUAGUUGGCGGGGUAAAGGCCCACCAAGGCGACGAUCCGUAGCUGGUCUGAGAGGAGGAUCAGCCACACUGGAACUGAGACACGGUCCAGACUCCGACGGGAGGCAGCAGUGGGGAAUAUUGGACAAUGGGCGCAAGCCUGAUCCAGCCAUACCGCGUGGGUGAAGAAGGCCUUCGGGUUGUAAAGCCCUGUUGUUGGGAAAGAAAAGCAGCCGGUUAAUACCCCGCUGUUAUGACGGUACCCAAAGAAUAAGCACCGGCUAACUUCGUG